CAAAGCAAAAAAAAGAAAAACAAAAAGGAAACCAAAUAGGAAAAAAAACAAACCAAACAAGGAUGUGUGUGCAGCGAAUGGCAACAGAUAAAUGGGUCGGCCCGCUAGGCGUUGCCCGUAGGCGGUUUCUAUUAGAAGACGGUUGUGUGUAGCCUUGGCGUCAAUGGACUGUCCUUUUUGGAUUUUUACAUCGCCCGCUAGGAAAACAACUCGCUCGCGCCCCAGUGGGCCAGCAAGUGGCGUGACUGUGCGUGACACUCCUAUGCGAUGCAAGGGCCCCUAAAAAUGAACAACGUUUCGAGCCGGAGCACCGACUGAAACUUCGGCCGGCCUUGCCAGUCUCGUCCGAUCUGGGACGACUGAACGUCCCCAUUUUCUCCUGGCCCACACACCGACCGACUCCCUCGGCCUUAUCUUCUUCCUCCCGCAUCGUUCCUCCUUUCUUUUUCCCCAUCUCUAAUCCCUCGCGGGACGCGACCAUGCACGCACUGCUUUGGACCACCACCUCCUCCUCCCCAUCCGCCCACCCGGUUUUGCUGGAACCAGCAAGAAUUUUUGCUACCACCGACCGAGGCAGGAGCUGGUACCAACACAUGUUUCUGCUACAACCGGUGAAGCCCAAGCUGGAACCAGUAGAGCUUUUUGCUACAACCGGCGGGACCCUGAGCUGGGACCAGCAAGUGUUUUUGCUACAUCGACUGGGGAGUUUCUACGGCCGCGACGCGACUUUUUUUUUUGCUUAACGGGUGUUGGAACCAGCACCGACGCCGGUGCUGCAACCGUCAUCGGUGGAAGCUUCUUCGUGGCGAGCUGCGACCUCGUGCCGCAACCCUCAAAUGUUUCCUCAUGGGGAAAAGUUACAACCGGCCAUGGCAAGCUGCGACCUCGCGCACAGCGCUAUAGUUGGCGGGGCAGGGGGAGGGGGGCUGGAGAGCUGCGCCGGCGGGCGGCGACGACAAGCUGCAAGCGGGAGGCUACGCGGGGCGUGCAAGCAGGGGAGGAAGGAAUUGCAUCGAGGAAAAAAAUUGUACAUGAGAGCUAGGCAGCGGCUUAAUCGGAUAGUUAAGCACACACGUAUCGUGUGGGUGCACGACGACAGGCCGAAAUUUGAACCGGCGCGCCGCCUCCUAGCACUGGCCUAAAAAACUUCCUAUAUGACGCAUGGUCCCUGCUCACAGGGCAUUUUCAGUCUUACGGAGCGGGUUGAUCGCGCGCGCAAGCACGCCCUAA